UUUUUUAUUUUUUAUUUUUUUGAGAGAGAGAGUCUUGCUCUGUCUCCUAGGCUGGAGUGCAGUGGCACCAUCUUGGCUUACUGCAACCUCCGCCUCCCAGAUUCAAGCAAUUCUCGUGCCUCACCCUCCAUAGUAGCUGGGAUUACAGGUGUGCACCACCACACCCAGCUAAUUGUUUUUUAUUUUUAGUGGAGAUGGAGUUUCGCUAUGUUGGCAGGCUGGUCUCAAACUCCUGAGCUCAGGUGAUCCGCCCGCCUCAGCCUCCCAAAGUGCUGGGAUUACAGGUGUGAGCCACCGUGCCUGGCUGUCUAUGCAGCUUUAUAUUCCACCCAAUGGGGUUUGGGGGAGGAUAAAAAGGACAGUGUGUGUACAGUAGUGACCUAAGUGUCUCCAAUGCAGGGCAUGCUCGGUAAAGGGAGCUGCUGGGUAUUUUUGCUAUUCUUAUUCUGUCUUGUCUAAAGAAAGUGUUUUUUUAUUCAUACAUAUUUUAGAAAGGUCAUACAUCCGUAGCCCCUUUUGCUGGCCAUCAGAUGGACAGAGCAGAUGGCCAGGACCCAGUGGAGCAUGAUGAACCCUUAAGAGUCCCCCAGUGAAUGGUGUGAUCUCAAAGAGGCUACAUCCUCCAGCUUGCCAUGUGAGUCUCUACCCCAUGAUCCAGACUGGGUGGAUCUCUGCAGACCUUCUAAGCAUCUGAUUACAGGUCCCAUGCAGGAAUGAGGCCAAGGUCACGGCCCGGGUCUCCCAGGGGGCCGCUGGGCUGAGGUGGUGAGCACAGCUCUCAUUCUGCCAGCUGCCUCAUUCAUGCUGGGCCCUGCUUCAGGCAGCUGGAGAUGGCAGAGGGGAACCCACUGCAUGGUAGAGGGAAAGACAUUGAGUGUUGGCUCUGUGGUCUUGGCCAAGCCUCUUUGAGCCUCAGUUUCUUCAUCCCUAAAGUGGGAAGAUUACGUAUUUGUAUUUGUUAUCUAUUGCUGUCUAACAAACCAUCCCCAGGUGUUUGUGGCUUAAAACAAUAGCAUUUAUGUAGCUCACCAUUCUGGGGUCUGGUUUGGCUGUGAGUGUGCCAGCUGGAAGGUCAGCUCAUGUCUAAUAGUCUAGGGGUGGCCUCCCUCACAUGUCUGGUGGUUGACAGCUGUGGGCUGGGAUGAUGGGGUAUGCCUGGGCC
rnacentral:lncRNA from 1 species